ensembl:lncRNA
UUUCUCUUCAUGCUUGGUUUCCUACAGAGCUUUCUGGACAUGGGCACAGGCCUUCUGUUAGCUCCUAUGACUGCUGUGCAAGAAAGAUCUUCAUAGCAGAUUUUACAUCCCAGUGAUUUGAGAAGUUGCAUUCAAAACAAGGGACAUACGCUCCUCCCAGAACAGAAUUUUUGUCUAUGGUGUUUUAAGAAAAAACAACCAGUUGCUCCAUCUGUCAGUAAACCUCUUCCAAGAAGAAGGAAAUAUCAACACAACACAAAAUGUGAUUGCCCUUUGAAAGCAAAAAAUACCAGGCAGUGUAACCUUUAGAUGCAGCACAUAAUGGGAGACAAUCAUCUGACAAAAAACAGAAGAGAGUUUGCAACUCUGACAUUUAUUUCCCCGUGAUUUAAAAGAAUGCACUGCUCAGCAUACACAGCUGCAGCCCUGCUUGUCCUGCUUUGUAACAGCCUUGCCCUGCUGGAACCACCUGAUGAUAGCAAAUUUCAGUCCUCUGGGUCACCUGCUCUACUGGGAUGGAGAAGCUAUCCGUAUUUUUGCAUGUAACACCAUCAGAGGUCCCUGACAUUUAAAUACAGACAACUCAUGAGGAUCCAGCCUUGGAGGAUGACCUUGUUGAACGCAGGUGGGAAUGGUGAGGACUUGCACCACUCCAAUGCUUUACUGAGUUUCAGUGGGAAAGUGGGAAGAAACAGUGAUGGGACUCUCAGUAAGGCCACAUAUGCAAGGUGCAGUCGAGACACCAGGUUGGGUUCUUUAGAACUGGCUCAGGAAAGGGAGCUUGCUGGCAUGCACUGUGCUCCCGCUGGUGUGCUCUAGAAAGUAUCUGGCCAUCAGGAGAGUUUCUCCUGAGCAGCAGAUGAUGUGAUGGAAAAAAAUAACAACUAAUGUUUUCAAUGGAGUGAAAAAGGCAAAGUGUGGUGGCAAUAAAAUAAAACCUUUGAACUCUGUAAUCGUGAAGCAAGCUACAUUUUUCACCGUGAGCAAAGAGCACGGCUCAAGGUUCACUUUGAAGCUAACUUCUCCCUUCUUUUCUUUUUUUUUCCCUUCCUUCCUUUUAACCUAGCUUAAACUUCAGGCUCACAGUAUCUGACAGUGUUUUUCUAAAUAAUGAAAGAGAGCCAUGCUAUCCAAGGCACUCCUGACGGGCAGUGUGAAGACAGACCUUCCUUCACACUGUGGCUUUUCUACCUAAACAGAUGGAAGUUCCCCUCCCUCCUGCUGCUUUCCAGCACUCCUUACAUCCUGCCCCCACAGGGAGCAGCUGAAUCCUGGCUUUUUACCAAGCUGGCCAAGGGCCGGAGGUGCUGUGCUGCCCUUCCUCUUCCAACCAUGGUGCCUGACUGCUUGUGCAGGCUGCCAGCCCUACAUCCCAGGUCUGUUUUGCUGCGAGGAGGGAUUGAGAAUCAAUGGCAGCAAGGAACAGAAUGGCAGCAAAACAGGGGGCAAAAGAAGAGGAUCCAUACUGGAAGGGAGGUGGGAUGGAACUGGGACUUGUUCCUGGGAAGAUUCUUUUCUUCCUUAGAUCAGACAGCAUCUGCUUCUUUAUUUUCUCUACCCUCAGCGUGAUGCUUCUGGUUUACAUGAGGUUCUCCUCAUUUAUUUGGGCUGUGGUAGCACAUAGAGGCUGAGCCUGGGGAUGGGAUGCUUCUGUGCAAGGUGCCUCCUCACCCUACCCCCAGUACUAGCCCUGAGCAUGAGUUUGUUAUAAUUGUGGCACAUCCAGUGAUGGCUUUGCCUAAAAUUGCUCAUCUUGCUCGCUCAGCACAUCUGCACUUUGACAUAGUUUUAAUUACUGAUACAAUUGGUGGCUUUAUUUCAAACGUGGGUAAUUUCAUUACCAGUUUUUAUACACCUUUUUAGUUCUUUGCCCAUGAGUUUCUCAAAGCAAAAUCAAAUGAAUCACUGACAUCAUCACUGUUCUUUCCUGAAAAUGGUUAUAAGGGAUGUGGCUUAAAACCUCCGGAGAUAUCAAGUAUGAUUUCAAUAGAUGUUUUUCUUAGAACAUACUGUACUACAACAUUAUCCACCUAUCACAUAACAGCCAUAACAAUCUUCCAAAAAAUAUAUAUUUUUAAGUAUGUACCCAUUUUUUCCAAUGCUAAAUUGUUAGGGCCCAAAAUAUUCAUCGCUCUGGGUGCAAAAAUUCAGAUAUACAUUUUUUUCCCCACUGGCAGUGGGCUUCUCAUACCGAGUGCUCAUCUUUCAUUCUUAAAACAUUGAUUUCUUUUUGAGCAACUGAAAACCACGUAGAUCUCCUAUGUAAAAAGGAAAAGACUAAAGCUGUUGUUGCAAUGGAUGGAGACAGAACGGGAGACCUUCUGAUGUGCACAGGCACAUCUUAGCACAGCACCACGCCAAACAAGUUAAUGGGCAACGUAUACAGUUCAUCCUAUGUCCAUAGUUGCUUUGAUAGCAUUUUGUGGAUAAGUGGAUUCUUAUAUUUUCUAUAAAUGGAUUCUUAUAUUUUCUAUAGAAGCAUUUUCUUGACAUAGCAAAAUUUCAUAGGUAAGUGAUGCUCCGUAAACACAUUUUACAUUGGCAUCUUACAGAGAAGCAGUGUUACAACUAAGGCAGCGGCCUUGACUCACGGGGUUAUGUGAGUGCAGUGGAAAAAAAGUUUGAAUCGUGGAAUGACAGAACAGUUUGGGUUGGAAGGGACCUCAAAGCCCUCCCAGCUCCAACCCCGUGCCAUGGGCAGGGCUGCCCCCCACCAGCUCAGCUGCCCAGGGCUGCAUCCAACCUGGCUUUGAGCACCUCCAGGGAUGGGGCACCACAGCUUCUCUGGGCAGCUGUGCCAGGGCCUCACCGUCCUGUGAGUAAAGAAUUCCCCCCCUUUAGAACUUUUGAUUUUUUUUUUUUUAAUUAUUAUUCCCAACAAACAAUCAGUGGGAAUGCUGCAAAUUCCCGAGCUUCGUUUCUAAUGGUAAUCACCAACUUUCCUUAACAUUUCUCCUUGAAGAAGUUUCUUUUGCACGCAGCCAAAGUGACGCUCUCCCCGGAGCUGGGUGCUCGGGGCCAUUUGGCUCCACAGCGUGCUGGCACGCAGUGAAGUUUUGAUUCCGGCUGUUUUAAUUAAAGCCUAUUUCCAUAGGAUUACUCCAGCGUGGAUCAGCUCCACGGUUCUGUUUGUUUUAAUAAACUCUCAGAGCUCUCCUCCUUCUAGAGAGAGAUUGUGCUGCAAACAAGGCAGCCCUGCGGUUCGUAGCAGAAACAUGGAAAUGCUGCCGUAAAAGAUGAAAAAAAAAAAGAAAAAAAAAAAAAGCUUUGAUGGAAUUCAUUACAAUCUAUGGACGAACAGAAACAACCUACAGCUCUAAGGCAGAUGGGCCGGCACAGGUGGGCAUGCAGCGGAGCGGGACGCCGGUACGUACCUGCAGGCAGCGCGGUGCCACGUCUCCCGGCCCGCUCGCUCCGCGGGACCUUUAUAGCGCUUUCCGGGGGCUAAAAAUAAACUUUAGGGGACGGCUAAGAGCUCGGGAGGGGGCGGCCGCGGGCUCUUACAGCGAUGCUCGAGCCACGCUCCGGCUCGGGGCCGGAGCUGCGCGGCUUCUGGGCGGUGUCGGCUGUCC